rnacentral:rRNA from 1 species
GACGAACGCUGGCGGCGUGCCUAAAACAUGCAAGUCGAACGGAGUAGCAAUACUCAGUGGCGAACGGCGGAGUAAUACAUAAGCAACGUGCCCUGAAGACUGGGAUAGCGGACCGAAAGGUCCAGUAAUACCGGAUGUGGCCCUCAUGAGACAUCUCGAGAGGAUUAAAUGGUUUUUCGCUUCAGGAGCGGCUUAUGACCUAUCGGCUUGUUGGCGAGGUAACGGCUCACCAAGGCGACGACGGGUAGGGGGUCUGAGAGGAUGAUCCCCCCGAGUGGGACUGAGACACGGCCCACACACCUACGGGUGGCAGCAGUUGGGAAUCUUGCACAAUGGGGGAAACCCUGAUGCAGCGACGCCGCGUGGAGGAUGACGGAUCUAGGUCUGUAAACUCCUUUUUUCAUGGAAAGACUUAGGACGGUACCAUGAGAAUAAGGACCGGCUAACUACGUGCCAGCAGCCGCGGUAAGACGUAGGGUCCAAGCGUUGUCCGGAUUUACUGGGCGUAAAG